rnacentral:rRNA from 1 species
ACAGAGGGGGCAAGCGUUGCUCGGAAUCACUGGGCGUAAAGGGCGCGUAGGCGGGACGCCAAGUCGGUCGUGAAAUCUCCGGGCUCAACCCGGAGGAGUCGGCCGAAACUGGUGUUCUUGAGGGAGGCAGAGGAGUCUGGAAUUCCCGGUGUAGCGGUGAAAUGUGUAGAGAUCGGGAGGAACACCGGUGGCGAAGGCGGGACUCUGGGCCUACCCUGACGCUGAGGCGCGAAGGCGUGGGGAGCAAACGGGA